AGGGACAGUGAACUGGCCCCCUGUUUCAAAAGUUUGAGGACCCCUGGGUAGGUCUGGACACUUGGCACCCCAGCAUGUCUCCUGAGCUCCCUAAUGUCCAUGAAGUGCUUAGUCCACAGGUAAACAAGGUCCCGGGUAAAACAAACCAUCAUCAAAUUGAUAACCACCUGCCAAAAACUGCUCCUAAGAAACCAUUGGAUUCUUCUGUAAAGUCAUCAAAGAACACGUACAGGGGCUGCCUUCUACUGUCAUCAGCAAAGAAGCAGGAUUCAGGAAGGUCUGUCCCCGCAGAGACAGAGUACCGGACAGAGUAGCACACCAAGGGAAAAAAGAAAUAGAAUAGACUUCAAAUCAUCCUAGCUCAAGUCUUCAGCUGAGCGGAAAGUGAAAGGAGAGAAAAGUAAACUCCUUGUCUUUAAAGACUGAAACAGACAGCUACUGAAGGAAUGAAAAUACAGGACAUGUCUGAAGCAGGUGCCAUCAAGUUAGUGCUGACUCAUGGCGACCCUCUGGAGAACAAACCCUUUCCUGGUCCUGUCUCACACGGUUUGCUGCUUGAACGCAGUGCUGUCGUAACUCCGUCCGUCUCCCUCACUGAGGCUCCUCCUCCUCCUUGCUGCACACUAUUUUAACAACAUAAAGUCCUUCUGCAGGAUUGAGCCCAUCCGAUAUGUCGAAAGUAUGGGAGACAAAGCCGUAUCGCAUGCUGUUGGAAUUAAAGACUGAGCAGACUCAGAACCACCAUGUUGUGGGAAGUGUAAGACUAACGGCCCUUCUAAGGAACAUUCUAUUCUGGUUGUACUUCUUGAAAGGAAAAUCUGUCGGUUUUUAGAGAUUCAGUAUUCUUUACCAAAACCGUAACUCAAAUGUUAUCAAUUCUGUGUUUUUCCUUAUUCAUUGUCCAGCUUUCACACGCAUGAGGCAACUGAAAUUACCAUGUUAGAGUUGGGUGCACCUUAAGUUAGCCCACUGCUCCCCAAAGUGGCAUCCUUUUUGUUGUUGUAACACUUGCGCCUUUUGCAUCAGAUUUGCCUAGGACAAUACAUUGUCCAAUUUCCUAACUCUUGUUCCAUGGACAUGAUCCACAGGUACAAGUGAAAAGAAAUCCUUGACCACGUCAGUAGUUUCUCCAUGUAGGACGGAGUUCAGUUCAUUGGUUCAGUUGUGAGGAUUUUUGUUUUCUUCUGGUUAAGGCUUAAUCCAUACUGGAGGCUGUACACUUUGAUAUUCACCAGUAAACAAUUACACUUUUUUAGAGUGAAACAGGCUUUAUUGUUGAUUUAAACCUGACUAUGGAGGUUUUUUAAAUUAGUAUAUAAUUGUAUAAAUUCUACAACAUAAUGAUUACUAAAGGCUUAGGUAUUUUGUAUGGAAUGCACAUGCCUGUUCUUAAAUCGCAGACAUCAAUUGUUUAGACCAUACAAAAAACUAGGAAAACCACCCAAAUUGCAAUAGAACUUCCUGAAAAAAAGGGUAAAAGACUAUAAUUCAGUAGAUUUCUAGUUUUGUUUACUGGGAAAGAUUUAAGGAUUUUUUGCCAAUGUCAUUGGAAACCGCUUUUGGUGACACCACAGGUGGGUAAUUAUGGCAUAAGGUGACUAUGGAGACUAGUGUGCUGGAAGAGAAGUACAGCCUCAUAUUCUUAAUCCUCUUAUUGGGAGCUCUUACAAAUAUUAUAAGUCCGUAAUUCAAUUAAAUCAAGCAUAAUUGUA